rnacentral:snRNA from 1 species
GGACGUGAGGGCUAUCUCUGGCUGUGACAUCUGUCACCCCUUUGAUCACCAGAGUUGAAUCAGCUGAUCUGGCUGGCUAGGCAGUGUCUCCUUCCUCCCUCUCUGCUCCAUGUGCCUCUCUCCUGAAGCUGCGCGCUUCUUUGAAGAGGACAACCACGCCAGAGAGGGGAGGACCAGUCAAGGGUAUACAAGUGGCUGUGCUCACUUGCUAGAAUCUCCAAAUAGAUUAUUACAUAUCAAUGUAUGCUGUAAUCUAUAAACUUAAUAUCGAUUAUUUAUACAGCUCUCAUGAUAUACAAUGUGUUUUUCU